GUGCUCGCUUUGACAACACAUAUACUAAAAUUGGAAUGAUACGGAGAAGAUUAGCAUGUCUCCUGUGCAAGGAUGACAUGCAAAUUCGUGAAGCAUCCCAUAUUUUU